CACGUUGAAUAACCGGUUCUCCUGCGAUCAUCGAAGUUAAGCAACGUCGAGUUUGGUCAGUACAUAGAUGGGUGACCGCUUGGGAAUACCAGG